GGUGAACACGGAGCUUGCUCUGUGGGAUCAGUGGCGAACGGGUGAGUAACACGUGAGCAACCUGCCCCUGACUCUGGGAUAAGCGCUGGAAACGGCGUCUAAUACUGGAUACGAGUAGCGGCCGCAUGGUCAGUUACUGGAAAGAUUUAUUGGUUGGGGAUGGGCUCGCGGCCUAUCAGCUUGUUGGUGAGGUAAUGGCUCACCAAGGCGUCGACGGGUAGCCGGCCUGAGAGGGUGACCGGCCACACUGGGACUGAGACACGGCCCAGACUCCUACGGGAGGCAGCAGUGGGGAAUAUUGCACAAUGGGCGGAAGCCUGAUGCAGCAACGCCGCGUGAGGGAUGACGGCCUUCGGGUUGUAAACCUCUUUUAGCAGGGAAGAAGCGAAAGUGACGGUACCUGCAGAAAAAGCACCGGCUAACUACGUGCCAGCAGCCGCGGUAAUACGUAGGGUGCAAGCGUUAUCCGGAAUUAUUGGGCGUAAAGAGCUCGUAGGCGGUUUGUCGCGUCUGCUGUGAAAUCCGGAGGCUCAACCUCCGGCCUGCAGUGGGUACGGGCAGACUAGAGUGCGGUAGGGGAGAUUGGAAUUCCUGGUGUAGCGGUGGAAUGCGCAGAUAUCAGGAGGAACACCGAUGGCGAAGGCAGAUCUCUGGGCCGUUACUGACGCUGAGGAGCGAAAGGGUGGGGAGCAAACAGGCUUAGAUACCCUGGUAGUCCACCCCGUAAACGUUGGGAACUAGUUGUGGGGUCCAUUCCACGGAUUCCGUGACGCAGCUAACGCAUUAAGUUCCCCGCCUGGGG
rnacentral:rRNA from 1 species